UAACAUCUUCCAUUUGAAGAGGAUAUUAGUUCUGUAAAGAGCGCAAAGGCCCGAGUGUGGGAAGAGAUAAGCUAAGCCUGAGGGCAGAAGACCUUGAAUACUAAGCCAAGGAAUUUGUAUUUUACUUGCUGAAUUUUUACAAUGCUGCAUCCAGCGUGUCCUUAAGUCAGUACAUCCAAAUACAAAGCCCCGCCAUGGCCGGGUCGAGCUGCAGCUCCACCAUCUUGGGCCGCCGCCGCCGCCGCCGCCGCCGCUUGCUGCCCGCGCGCCGCCGGGCCGGCCCAUCUCUCGGCAGGGCGAUCUCUUAUUUUAGAUGAGAAACUGAGGCUUCAAGUGUUUUUCAGAAAUUGCUCAAAGAAUCGAUGAGAGUGGGAUUCCAAUGGCAGCUUUCUAAUAUAAUGUGCUGACUCCUAGAGCUGUUCUGGAAGGUGCUGGAAAGUGCUACUGGAAACAAAAAUGUUAAGUCAUAAUUGAUUCCUGCCCCCCCAGGAAAUGAUAGUCCAGUGAGGCAGGCAAGCACACAGAAAUCCACCCCAACUGGAGUAGGGUACCAGGAGAAUAGACCACAUAACCUGUCAAAAUUCAACUCAAAUAUCCCAUUUCCUGAGAGCCACUCCACAGAUUCUAAUCAAAGAACUAUUAUGUGUCUUAUGCUAAAGUGCUCUAUACUCUAAUCAGACCACAUAUUUUAGCAAUUUAAUGUACUAGUAGAAAAUAGUAUUAGAUGUAACAUUAACAGGCUAUGUUUUCAUUCACUAUAUAUUUAUUCUAGGAGUAAUCCUUGAAUGUGUACUAAAUUCUAGCUUCCUCCCUAGGUGUCAAGAAUAUAAAUGCAAAUAUGAUGUGAAUCUUGACCUCCAGGGUCUUAGAAUUGGUUUAAUGACUUUGUAAGAGCACAUUGUAUAAUUCUAACCAUCUAUAAUCCUUUAUUGGGGCUUCCCUGGUGACUUGGGGAUAAAGAAUCCACCUGCCAAUGAAGGACAUGUGUGGUUCAAUCCCUGGAUUGGGAAGAUCCCCCCAAGGAGGAAUGGCAACCCAUUCCAGUACUCUUGCCUGGAGAAUUUCAUGGACAGAGGAGCCUGGAGAGCUACAGUCCAUGGGGUCACAAAGAGUUGGAUAGAACUUAACAUCUAAACAACAACAACAAAUCCUGUUUCAGGGGGCUCUGGGCUGCAUUUCUUAACUAGCUCAUGGAAUUCUCACUUUUCCAGGCAUGUGGACGGUAUGCAGAGAGUUCUCACCAACUGGGAAUAAUACUCCAUUGCUGGAUUAAUUCAGUGGACACAUGAGAAUGAAGAAGGUCAAGGGAAUCACCCUGUUGUCUGGAACAUAACCACUGAUGGGACUUUUCUUGGUAUGCAUUUGGGUAGGAAAGUGUAAACAAAAACAUAAGAUGAUGAAUUUCAUCUGCUAUAACCAGGCUCUCCCUGAACGAUGCAUCACCCCUUACCACUCUCUCGCUGCUUCCCUUCCUGGCUUAUGUGAUAGAAGAGGACAGUUUACUGUGGACCUUGCAGGUGGAUAUCUGCAUCUGAAUCCCAGUUUUGCUACCAAGAAACAAGUUGCUUUAUCUCUGUGAACCUCACUCACCAUCUUCAUCUAUGGAAUGGAAGUGAUCAUAAUCCUGCAGCAAUGCCCUUGCUUGGGACCAUUAAAAAGUUAAUUAAAGGGCCAGCCACCAAUCUUGGACUUCCCUGGUGUUUCAGUGGUCAAGAAUCCUCCUGCCACUUAAAAAACUGGAAACAGAACUGCCUUAUGAUCCAGCAAUCCCACUGCUGAGCAUACACACUGAGGAAACCAGAAUUGAAAGAGACACAUGUACCCCAGUGUUCAUCGCAGCACUGUUUAAAAUAGCCAGGACGUGGAAGCAACCUAGAUGUCCAUCAGCAGAUGAAUGGAUAAGAAAGCUGUGGUACAUAUACACAAUGGAGUAUUACUCAGCCAUUAAAAAGAAUACAUUUGAAUCAGUUCUAAUGAGGUGGAUGAAACUGGAACCUAUUAUACAGAGUGAAGUAAGCCAGAAAGAAAAACACCAAUACAGUAUACUAAUGCAUAUAUAUUGGAGAAGGCAAUGGCACCCCAUUCCAGUACUUUUGCCUAGAAAAUCCCAUGGAUGGAGGAGCCUGGUAGGCUGCAGUCCAUGGGGUCGCUAGAGUUGGACACGACUGAGUGACUUCACUUUCACGCAUUGGAGAAGGAAAUGGCAACCCACUCCAGUGUUCUUGCCUGGAGAAUCCCAGGGAUGGGGAAGCCUGGUGGGCUGCCGUCGAUGGGUUGCAGAGUUGGACAUGACUGAAGCGACUUAGCAGCAGCAAUGCAUAUAUAUAGAAUUUAGAAAGAUGGUAACAAUAACCCUGUAUACGAGACAGCAAAAGAGACACUGAUGUAUGGAACAGUCUUUUGGACUCUGUGGAAGAGGGAGAGGGUGGGAUGAUUUGGGAGAACGGCAUUGAAACAUGUAUAAUAUCAUAUAUGAAACGAGUUGCCAGUCCAGGUUUGAUGCACGAUACUGGAUGCUUGGGGCUGGUGCACUGGGACGACCCAGAGGGAUGGUAUGGGGAAGGAGGAGGGAGGUGGGUUCAGGAUGGGGAACACAUGUAUACCUGUGGUGGAUUCAUUUUGAUAUAUGGCAAAACCAAGCAAUACUGUAAAGUUAAAAAAAAAAAAAAAAAAAGAAUCCUCCUGCCGGUGCAGAGGACAUGGGUUCGAUCAAUCCCUGGUCUGGGAAGAUUCCACAUGCGGUGGAGCAACUAGGCCUGUGCGCCAUAACUGCUGAGCCUGCAGCUGCAAUUCCUGAAACCCAUGUGCCUAGAAUCUGUGCUCCACAACAAGAGAAGUCACGACAAUGAGAAGACCUCAAACCCCGAUGAAAAGUAGCCCCUGCUCUCCUAAACCCACUCCCAGCAACAAAGACCCAGCACAGCCAAAAAUCCGGAAGUGCUAGCCACCAGUCUGAAUAUCACCUUUUCUAUACAGGGCACUGGGGUCUUAGAUUACUAAGCACAGUUGAGACAAGCUGCCUUUGAGGCUUCGGUUUCUAAAAUUUGGUAGAAAGAGCCUCACCUUGGGGCAAUACAGUAGCCUCAUUUUUGGUUUUCUCUUUGGUGAGCUCUUUGAGGGCAUGACUAGCCUUUAUCUUGUUUACUUUCCAUUCUCAGAACAUUUCUAGUGCCAACUGAUACUCAGUAAAUGAUUGCUGAUUAAUAACUAUAUAUUUGGG
ensembl:lncRNA